UUAGAAUUAAGGGAACAAGGAGGGGAGUUAUCUAACUAGAAAUAGAAAUGAAUUCACCAGUGUAGGUAGUGCACUACAUUAGGGGCAGGUUUUUUGCUAAAACCACAAAGGGUCUUUGGCUUGGUGAGUGGAGUUUGGUAGUAAUCCUUGCUACAAGU